rnacentral:misc_RNA from 1 species
GUUUUAGUUGUACAUUAUGCACAAUAGACAUUCCAUUACAUUCAGAGUGUGUAAAGUUACUCGAGCACCAGGCCGGUGAGGGCCAUGCAAAGCGGCACUCAGAGUCAUAGAUGCACAGGUGUGUGGAUUUGCGACUCUUGUCGACGUGCACAUGUGAAUCUCUCCACCAGCACAGAACAACAAAAGCCGACUUUGAAGUUUCAUUAAUGAUCCUUCCGCAGGUUCACCUACGGAAA